UACGAAGGGGGCUAGCGUUGUUCGGAAUUACUGGGCGUAAAGCGCGCGCAGGCGGCCUUUCAAGUCAGGGUUGAAAGCCCGGAGCUCAACUCCGGAAUUGCCUUUGAAACUGUCAGGCUCGAGUACGGGAGAGGUGAGUGGAAUUCCCAGUGUAGAGGUGAAAUUCGUAGAUAUUGGGAAGAACACCGGUGGCGAAGGCGGCUCACUGGCCCGUUUCUGACGCUCAGGCGCGACAGCGUGGGGAUCAAACAGG
rnacentral:rRNA from 1 species